rnacentral:rRNA from 1 species
UGGGGAAUAUUGGACAAUGGGCGCAAGCCUGAUCCAGCCAUGCCGCGUGGGUGAUGAAGGCCUUAGGGUUGUAAAGCCCUUUCGGCGGGGAAGAUAAUGACGGAACCCGCAGAAGAAGCCCCGGCUAACUUCGUGCCAGCAGCCGCGGUAAUACGAAGGGGGCUAGCGUUGCUCGGAAUCACUGGGCGUAAAGCGCACGUAGGCGGCUUUUUAAGUCAGAGGUGAAAUCCUGGAGCUCAACUCCAGAACUGCCUUUGAUACUGGAGAGCUUGAGUCCGGGAGAGGUGAGUGGAACUGCGAGUGUAGAGGUGAAAUUCGUAGAUAUUCGCAAGAACACCAGUGGCGAAGGCGGCUCACUGGCCCGGUACUGACGCUGAGGUGCGAAAGCGUGGGGAGCAAACAGG